rnacentral:piRNA from 1 species
UAACAACAGCUCUUCUCUUCAGGAU